ACUUCAGUUUAAAGUGAACACAAAACAUAAAUAUACAUAACCUCAAAAUUUGCAGUAAACAAACAAAAGUACAAGAGUAACAAGAAUUCAAUAUUUCAAAUAUAAAUUUCUACAAAAUAGAAUAGCAAAAUAAUAUUCAGUGUAGCUUUAUAAAAUUAACAUAGAAUCGUGCCCCACUUUGGACGUCAAAUGUGCUACCGGGUAAGUGAAAACGGUUUUGUUGUCUUAAUGUAAUGGCGGAUACAUUUGAACCGAUACUCUGUUGCGCUCGGCUGAUGGUAGAGCAUGAAUGAUAUAAGGGCGCCAGGGCUAUGCGCGGAAGGUACUCUCAGGGUCGUGACGUUAACUAGCCCGUUCUGGUAAUUUGACCAUUAAAUUAUGAACAACGUGAGGUUGUCCGACUGAUCGUGUGAGAUGGAGGUGUGACCUGUCGCGGAGAUCUCUUACAGAAUUCGGAUACCUUAUUGACGGUUUACUUCGGAAGACGGUUGAAGACCUUGACGACUGGAGCUGCUGGAGUUGACGA